rnacentral:rRNA from 1 species
UACGAGAGGUGCAAGCGUUAUUCGGAAUUAUUGGGCGUAAAGGGUGCGUAGGUGGCACAGUAAGUCAACUGUAAAAUUCCUCAGCUUAACUGAGGGCUCGCAGUAGAAACUGUUGUGCUAGAGGGUGGAAGAGAGAAGUGGAAUUCUCGGAGUAGCGGUAAAAUGCGUAGAUCUCGAGAGGAACACCGAUGGCGAAGGCAGCUUCUUGGUCCAUUUCUGACACUGAGGCACGAAAGCGUGGGGAGCAAACAGG